AUUGCCCCAGUAACGGCGAGUGAAGCGGCAACAGCUCAAAUUUGAAAUCUGGCCCCUAGGGCCCGAGUUGUAAUUUGCAGAGGAUGCUUUUGGCGAGGUGCCUUCCGAGUUCCCUGGAAUGGGACGCCAUAGAGGGUGAGAGCCCCGUCUGGUUGGAUGCCGAGCCUCUGUAAAGCUCCUUCGACGAGUCGAGUAGUUUGGGAAUGCUGCUCUAAAUGGGAGGUAUAUGUCUUCUAAAGCUAAAUACUGGCCAGAGACCGAUAGCGCACAAGUAGAGUGAUCGAAAGAUGAAAAGCACUUUGAAAAGAGGGUUAAACAGUACGUGAAAUUGUUGAAAGGGAAGCGCUUAUGACCAGACUUGGACCCGGUGAAUCAUCCAGCGUUCUCGCUGGUGCACUUUGCCGGGCUCAGGCCAGCAUCAGUUCGCGCCGGGGGAUAAAGGCUUUGGGAACGUGGCUCCCUCGGGAGUGUUAUAGCCCAUCGCACAAUACCCUGGGGCGGACUGAGGUUCGCGCAUCUGCAAGGAUGCUGGCGUAAUGGUCAUCAGCGACCCGUCUUGAAACACGGACCAAGGAGUCGUCUUCGUAUGCGAGUGUUCGGGUGUAAAACCCCUACGCGGAAUGAAAGUGAACGCAGGUGAGAGCUUCGGCGCAUCAUCGACCGAUCCUGAUGUUCUCGGAUGGAUUUGAGUAAGAGCAUACGGGGCCGGACCCGAAAGAAGGUGAACUAUGCCUGUGUAGGGUGAAGCCAGAGGAAACUCUGGUGGAGGCUCGCAGCGGUUCUGACGUGCAAAUCGAUCGUCAAACAUGGGCAUGGGGGCGAAAGACUAAUCGAACC
rnacentral:rRNA from 1 species